GGGGAAACGCCAAAGUUGGAGAGUUGGGCCGGACUGUAAAUCCGGUGCUUUAUGGCUGAGCAGGUUCGAAUCCUGUUUUCCCCA
rnacentral:tRNA from 1 species